rnacentral:tRNA from 1 species
GGAGUUGUGACUCAGUGGUAGAGUGCUCACUUGGCAUGGGAGAGGUCCUGGGUUAGAUCCUCUGCACUGCA